UACAGAGGUCUCAAGCGUUGUUCGGAUUCAUUGGGCGUAAAGGGUGCGUAGGCGGCGCGGUAAGUCGGGUGUGAAAUCUCGGAGCUUAACUCCGAAACUGCAUUCGAUACUGCCGUGCUUGAGGACUGGAGAGGAGACUGGAAUUUACGGUGUAGCGGUGAAAUGCGUAGAUAUCUGGAGGAACACCGGUGGCGAAAGCGGCUCACUGGAUCGAAACUGACGCUGAGGUGCGAAAGCUAGGGUAGCAAACGGG
rnacentral:rRNA from 1 species